rnacentral:misc_RNA from 1 species
GACGCACCCUCCCGAAGAUCAUGCUGUCUCACAGUCCCAUCUUCACUAGCACUCCAUACUACAUGAGGAUUCCCAACUUCAACAGCUAAUUUUUUGACCCUCCUGGUAUGACACUGAAAGAGUGCUGCUGGAGUCACAGUAUUGUCUUCUCCUCUUCCCUUUUGAUGAGACAAAUGAAAAAGACGAACUUCAGCAUCUCCUGCUCCAGAAACAACUAGCUCAUCAGAAGUUUCUGGAAUAAAC